rnacentral:rRNA from 1 species
CGCUGGCGGCGUGCCUAAUACAUGCAAGUCGAACGGUCUUUCUAUGGAAGCUUGCUUCCACUGAGAAGAUAGUGGCGAACGGGUGAGUAACACGUGGGUAGCCUGCCCAUAAGAGGGGGAUAACAUCCGGAAACGGGUGCUAAUACCGCAUAGUUUUCUUGAUCGCAUGAUUGAGAAAGGAAAGACGGCCUUUGUGCUGUCGCUUAUGGAUGGACCCGCGGCGUAUUAGUUAGUUGGUGAGGUAACGGCUCACCAAGACGAUGAUACGUAGCCGACCUGAGAGGGUGAUCGGCCACAUUGGGACUGAGACACGGCCCAAACUCCUACGGGAGGCAGCAGUAGGGAAUCUUCCGCAAUGGACGAAAGUCUGACGGAGCAACGCCGCGUGAGUGAAGAAAGGUUUUCGGAUCGUAAAACUCUGUUGUCAGAGAAGAACAAGUUGGAGAGUAACUGCUCCAGCCUUGACGGUAUCUGACCAGAAAGCCACGGCUAACUACGUGCCAGCCGCGGC